ACGACAGAACGCCGCACCCCGUGACCGCUGCUCGUCACCGACUCUGGCUUGAUCAAGUGUGUGUGUGUGUGUCUGGAGCUCCAUGGCGAAAUUCACAAAUCCAACUCUGCAUUUGGUGCCGAGGUUAACGAAAGUCGAAGGUAAUGGCUCUGAUUGCAGCGCACUGUUGAAUGGAAGUGACUGUCUUCGUCUGAAUGUGAAGUUCUUCCAUGGAACACGCAAAUCGGGUGGAGAGCAGUUUUCAGGAUCUGACUCCGAAAAUGAGGCUGUGAAGGAGUUAUCGGAUGGUUCUUCUGAUGAUGGUAGAAGCGAUACUAACGGCAGAUCCCGGAGUCGAGUGGAGGAUAAUUGGCUUCAAGAUGCUCUCAUUGUACUGAUGGUGCUGUGCAAGUAGGCGUCUGAGUCGAGCCUAGCAUAUGUAAUGUCAACGAUUGUGGGACGAGCUCUUUCUGAUCGCAGCGAUGACUGGAAGCCUGUGCAUAGGAGCACCCUAGCUCCAUGGUUCAUUUUCAGAGCCGGUUGACAAAUGUUUCAAGCUGCGCGGAUGUCUUAAAACGUCCGACACUCCGUGGGUUGACAUUCAUUUAGUGCUGUGCGUUAUGACUUACUAAAUAUCCAGAUCCUACAACGACCAGCAAAACCUCCUGAAACAUGUAUUGUGUAUUUUUUGAGUCUAAUAUCUCUCUCUAAAGGAUGGAACCUAGUUUGGUGUUUGUUAACCUGCAUGAGGUAAAUGUUUCCUUAUCUUUCUUGAAGCAUCUCGUUCUUAACGUGCUGAUUGUGUUUAUUUUGUGAGGUGAGUGAUUUAUAUUCAGUUUCAUGUGACAAUAUUUCAAAGUGCAAAUUCAUGACACUGAAGCCCUAACUUAAUAACUCUGAUUUAGCUAUCAACAACUUACAUAUCCUGACCCAGCGCUAUUCACAUUUCUGAUGCUUUCUUAACGAGAGGAUUCUUCUGUGGUGUGGUAAAAAUCCUUAGCGCUGCAAAUAAUCUCCAUAGAGGAGCAUAUCAAAUUGUUACUCCUGCAUAAGCUUAUGCACUGUGAGCAUCACGAAGACUUACAAGUCUUUAGGUGAUGGACUGCUAAUCGUUGUAGUUCUGUUCCACAGUUAUGUUACUUCUCGAGAACAACACGGUUUGACCUUUAGUAGGAACAUUUGAGAGGCAUGAAACUCUAGAUGCUUGCAUCUUUGCCUACUAAAGGAAGUAGACAAGGUCAGAUUGUCCAUAUCUAAAGGGGUUAUAAGAUAAAUUUUUAAACAAAGUGGCCACAAAGUUAUCAAAACGUUGAGAACCACAUUUCUCUUACUAAGGUCUUGCAAACUUUCAGUUUUUUACAGGAUGAAGUUUGUGCUCAAAUCAAAAUCGGAAAAUUGCUUUGUAAAGAUAAAAGCAUUCUUCAUUGGCAGGUUUUCUUAAAAACUAACUUAAAAAUUCCCAUAUAAAACUCUGAAAUUUCUGUCAAUCAUCAAGAGAUGAACAAGAAGGAGGGCAGCGCGUAGUUAAGCUUUCUAGGAGCUCAGGUGUAAAUAAAUCUUGCUCGGUUUUGUGGGAACUUUUGUAGUGCACUGAUAUUAUACUCCAGGUCGAUGUAUUGUGGUUCAUUAUAUUCUAGCUACCAAUCCUCUCUUUGAGUUGGAUAUAGAUAUCUUAUUCUCAUUAAAAAAUUAAAAAAUAAUAAUAAUGAUAAUAAUAAAAUUGUCCUUCAGAAAUAGUAACGAGUCCUUAGUGACGUCCGUGUGUUUUGAGGUUGUGUAUCAUGGUCUCCAACGUUGUUAGAUCAUUUAAUAUAUAGAGAAGAGAAGAAACAAGUGCUCCAUGACUACUCACGGUGACCGAAGAUGGCUUUGAAAGGCGAGUGCAAGUCUAUGCAUCUUUGAAAAAUGUUGCUUGUCACGAGGGUGUAAUUGGAUGCCAGGCCAGCAUCAUGUUAAUCAUGUAUUGAGGCUGCAUAGAAAGUAUGCACCUGCAUUAAUUCUCUUAUGACUAGCCAUAUUUUUCCGUUUUCUACUUUGUUUGUUGAAUCUGUAGUUUAGUGCAAAACUUCCAUGUUUCGUUUAAUGUUGCGAGAGCCAACUUGUGUGGUGGGUAUCACUUUCGAGUGGACAAGACGAAAAGGAACCUCCAUGUUUGUUUCCUCGCAACACAUUUAGGGUUGUCUUGCAGCUUAGUGUUCGGGUUAACAUGAUCAUAGUCACAAUUAAGAACUGACCAUUAAACGUCUGUGGUAAACGUUUUCCUGUUCAUAGGAAUACUGGAUGGCACCAUCUGCAUAUUUUUUUUCUUGUUUUUGCAGUAGCUCGAUCCUUCUGUCCUGGUCCAUCUUUCAUUCUCUUGUUCAGUAUGCAGAGACAGAUGGAGAACGUGAAGAACAUUUAACAAGGAUGUUCUUGAGCAACUUCAAAUCUCUAGUGUAAAUCUGAAGAACUAUCACAGAUUGCAACUGUUCAUUACGCCAAGCUAAUAAACAUAGUUACUUGCUUCGGGGGGUUGAAAAUUAUGCGAAUUCCUUUAGGUGGCGAAGUUAGCUAGGAUUCGAUGUAAACAACUGCUGAGGAGGGUGUAGAGAUAUCCGAAAGUAAUAAAAACUAGUAAAUGUUUAAUCAGCAUUCCUAUGUGUAGUUUCAAAAAUGUAUCUCUCAAAUGCGAGUGACAUGAAAUGACAUAUGUUUCGGAUUGCAGACCAGGGAUUUCGCAUUGAUCAUUGUUUCCAAAUGGGCUUUCCCAGAGGACGAGUGGCAGUACGUAUUUACCAUUUUGUAACGAAGAUUUUAAUUCGACAUAGUGUGGACCACUGCCAAGUCUAUUCAGUCCCGUCGUAAGAUUAAUUUAAACCCAAUCUAGAGACAAGACAUGGCAGUGAAAA